UCACAACCUCCUAGAAAGAGUAGA
ensembl:miRNA mir-67 miscRNA